rnacentral:rRNA from 1 species
GUACACUCCUGCGGGAGGCAGCAGUGGGGAAUAUUGCACAAUGGGCGCAAGCCUGAUGCAGCCAUGCCGCGUGUGUGAAGAAGGCCUUCGGGUUGUAAAGCACUUUCAGCGGGGAGGAAGGCAAUGCGGUUAAUAACCGUGUUGAUUGACGUUACCCGCAGAAGAAGCACCGGCUAACUCCGUGCCAGCAGCCGCGGUAAUACGGAGGGUGCAAGCGUUAAUCGGAAUUACUGGGCGUAAAGCGCACGCAGGCGGUCUGUCAAGUCGGAUGUGAAAUCCCCGGGCUCAACCUGGGAACUGCAUUCGAAACUGGCAGGCUUGAGUCUUGUAGAGGGGGGUAGAAUUCCAGGUGUAGCGGUGAAAUGCGUAGAGAUCUGGAGGAAUACCGGUGGCGAAGGCGGCCCCCUGGACAAAGACUGACGCUCAGGUGCGAAAGCGUGGGGAGCAAACAGGAUUAGAUACCCUAGUAGUCCC